GGGCGGCUAGCUCAGUUGGUUAGAGUACUUGCUCGACACGCAAGGGGUCGGCAGUUCGAAUCUGCCGUCGCCCA
rnacentral:tRNA from 1 species